rnacentral:rRNA from 1 species
UACCUACUGUUGCUUCGGCGGGAUUGCCCCGGGCACCUCGUGUGCCCCGGAUCAGGCGCCCGCCUAGGAAACUUAACUCUUGUUUUAUUUUGGAAUCUUCUGAGUAGUUUUUACAAAUAAAUAAAAACUUUCAACAACGGAUCUCUUGGUUCUGGCAUCGAUGAAGAACGCAGCGAAAUGCGAUAAGUAAUGUGAAUUGCAGAAUUCAGUGAAUCAUCGAAUCUUUGAACGCACAUUGCGCCCGCCAGUAUUCUGGCGGGCAUGCCUGUCUGAGCGUCAUUUCAACCCUCAUGCCCCUAGGGCGUGGUGUUGGGGAUCGGCCAAAGCCCGCGAGGGACGGCCGGCCCCUAAAUCUAGUGGCGGACCCGUCGUGGCCUCCUCUGCGAAGUAGUAAUAUUCCGCAUCGGACAGCGACGAGCCCCUGCCGUUAAACCCCCAACUUUCUAAGGUUGACCUCAGAUCAGGUAGGAAUACCCGCUGAACUUAAGCAUAUCAAUAAGCGGAGGA